GGGGCGGGAGGAGGCGGUGGCGGUCGUAGCCGGCGGCUGUAGCCGGAGCCCGGUCCUCUACCGCCAGGCCGGGGAUCCGGAGUUCUCCGCCGGACCGGGCCGUCCCACCGCUCCGCUCCGGGAAGUCCCCGUCCGUAAACUCCCUGCAACUUCAGCCACCUGUUAUUGGUCAUUGAACCGCGCGGCUUUCAAGUAGCGGGUUGAUUUCUUUAAAAAAAUCUUUCUUUCCCUGUCAUUGGUGUUGCUUUGGGGGUUUUUCCCCCUGCCGGGUCGAAGCGGUGCCGUGCUGGGCUGUGCUCCGGCAGGCGCGGCUGUCAGCGGCUCGCCGGGGCUGGCCGCGGCCGCUCCGCCUCACGGCGCCCGGCCCCGCGCCCGCCGGCAGCCCGCUCUCGCUUAAACUCGGAGAAACUGUAUUGCUGCUGUCCCCUCUCUCUACCACAGACACCCUGUGCCGUGGACCUGUUCUAACUGCAUCCAUAUCGCUCUGUUUUUCCUGUGAUCCCCGAUGCUGCGCGAAAGAUCUCAUCACCUCAGCUGACAGAGAGUGCUUUUAUAGCUCUCUUGUGGCUCUCCUGGCCUGGCAUCCUUAGCUCUCCGGGCAGCCAGCCUCAUCCUAGGUGUUUAAUUAUCAGUGCACAAACUAUUGCUAUUUUUGCCAUGACAGUAUUCCCCAGAGAAUUUUACUUAUUUCAGCAGUUGUUAGGACAAAGAGGUGUUCAUCGCCAAAUGCAUUGGCACAACCAUUACAUUUAAUGAAUUAAGGAGUCUUUCCCUUAGUAAAAGUCUGUUCAAAUCAUGUUGCUGAGACCUGCAUGAACAGAUAGCAGCAGCAUCCCAUAAUAAUGUAGGAAAAAAAUCUACAUGGCUGAAGACUGCUCUGGCUGAUGUUACCAAAAGCUAUCCACAGGCCUGCUUCCACCUCUUCUUUAAUCUGUGGCAGAUGUUCACUAUGUCUUGUUGGAAAUCCAUGAGAAGAGAAGGAGAUCUCUAUGCUGCUGAGGAAAACAAGAUGAGUGAAUUGUCUUGCUCUUUCUUAAAUG